rnacentral:lncRNA from 1 species
AGGCCGGUAGACAUCAGAAGAAAUCACAAGUCUGAGUGGCUGUGCUGCAGGACACAGUUCCGUUCUGAGUGUGGGAGGACGGCUCCGAGUAGCCCUCGCACAGUGGGGCGUGGGGGAAGGCAGCCUCCCUGAAGCUUGCGCUCCUGUCCGCUGGACCUGAGACUCGGCAGGAAGGUGAGAAUGUGCUCCCCAGGCCCCUCCAUGCCCGCAC